rnacentral:rRNA from 1 species
GCCUAUCAGUUGUGUGAGUAUGCUCACAGACGACGACGGUAGCGCCUGAGAGGGCGACCGCACACUGGACUGAGACACGGCCCAGACUCCUACGGAGGCAGCAGUGGGAAUAUUGCACAAUGGGGGAAACCUGAUGCAGCGACGCAGCGUGCGGGAUGACGGCCUUCGGGUUGUAAACCGCUUUCAGCAGGGAAGAAGCCUUUCGGGGUGACGGUACNUGCAGAAGAAGUACCGGCUAACUACGUGCCAGCAGCCGCGGUAAUACGUAGGGUACAAGCGUUGUCCGGAAUUAUUGGGCGUAAAGAGCUCGUAGGUGGUUGGUCACGUCUGCUGUGGAAACGCAACGCUUAACGUUGCGCGUGCAGUGGGUACGGGCUGACUAGAGUGCAGUAGGGGAGUCUGGAAUUCCUGGUGUAGCGGUGAAAUGCGCAGAUAUCAGGAGGAACACCGGUGGCGAAGGCGGGACUCUGGGCUGUAACUGACACUGAGGAGCGAAAGCAUGGGGAGCGAACAGGAUUAGAUACCCUGGUAGUCCAUGCCGUAAACGUUGGGCACUAGGUGUGGGGGACAUUCCACGUUCUCCGCGCCGUAGCUAACGCAUUAAGUGCCCCGCCUGGGGAGUACGGUCGCAAGGCUAAAACUCAAAGGAAUUGACGGGGGCCCGCACAAGCGGCGGAGCAUGCGGAUUAAUACGAUGCAACGCGAAGAACCUUACCAAGGCUUGACAUACACCAGACCGUUCUGGAAACAGUUCCUCCCCUUUGGGGUUGGUGUACAGGUGGUGCAUGGUUGUCGUCAGCUCGUGUCGUGAGAUGUUGGGUUAAGUCCCGCAACGAGCGCAACCCUCGUUCUAUGUUGCCAGCACGUAAUGGUGGGAACUCAUAGGAGACUGCCGGGGUCAACUCGGAGGAAGGUGGGGAUGACGUCAAAUCAUCAUGCCCUUUAUGUCUUGGGCUUCACGCAUGCUACAAUGGCUGGUACAGAGAGAUGCGAGACCGCGAGGUUUUAGCGAAUCCCUUAAAGCCAGUCUCAGUUCGGAUCGUAGUCUGCAAUUCGACUACGUGAAGUCGGAGUCGCUAGUAAUCGCAGAUCAGCAAC